AUACGUAGGUGACAAGCGUUAUCCGGAUUUACUGGGCGUAAAGGGCGUGUAGGCGGUCUUGCAAGUCAGAAGUGAAAUUCCUGAGCUCAACUCGGGCGCUGCUUCUGAAACUGCAGGACUUGAGUGCUGGAGGGGAUAGCGGAAUUCCUAGUGGAGCGGUAAAAUGCGCAGAUAUUAGGAAGAACACCGGUGGCGAAGGCGGCUACCUGGACAGAAACUGACGCUGAGGCGCGAAAGCGUGGGGAGCAAACAGGAUUAGAUCCCCUGGUAGUCCACGCCGUAAACGAUGAAUACUAGGUGUAGGGGGUAUCGACUCCCUCUGUGCCGCAGUUAACACAAUAAGUAUUCCGCCUGGGGAGUACGGCCGCAAGGUUGAAACUCAAAUGAAUUGACGGGG
rnacentral:rRNA from 1 species